AUCCAGCUGACGAAUCUCAAAUGGGAGGAAACGCGCGUCCUGGAU
rnacentral:hammerhead_ribozyme from 1 species